rnacentral:rRNA from 1 species
UACAUAGGUGGCAAGCGUUGUCCGGAUUUAUUGGGUUUAAAGGGUGCGUAGGCGGCCUUGUAAGUCAGUGCUGAAAUAUCCCGGCUUAACCGGGAGGGUGGCAUUGAUACUGCAGGGCUUGAGUAAAGUUGAGGUUGGCGGAAUUGACGGUGUAGCGGUGAAAUGCUUAGAUAUCGUCAAGAACACCUAUUGCGUAGGCAGCUAACUAAGCUUUAACUGACGCUGAGGCACGAAAGUGUGGGGAUCAAACAGG